GCUGUGGAGAGCAAAACAAAUAUGAGUAGAUAUUUUAUAUCAAAAAUAUGUUCGUUGAAACAGCAA
rnacentral:ncRNA from 1 species